AUACGGAGGAUGCGAGCGUUAUCCGGAUUUAUUGGGCUUAAAGGGUGCGCAGGCGGCCUUUUAAGUCAGCGGUUAAAUCGUGGGGCUCAACCCCAUUAUGCCGUUGAUACUGGGUGGCUUGAUUGCGGUCGAGGUGGGCGGGAUUCGUUGUGUAGCGGGGAAAUGCAUAGAUAUGACGAAGAACACCGUUUGCGUAGGCAGCUGGCCAGACCGCAAAUGACGCUCAUGCACGAAAGUGCGGGGAUCGAACAGGAUUAGAUACCCUGGUAGUCCGCACAGUAAACGAUGAAUACUUGUUUUCGGCGAUAUAAUGUCGGAGGCAAAGCGAAAGCGAUAAGUAUUCCACCUGGGGAGUACGCCGGCAACGGUGAAACUCAAAUGAAUUGGCGGGG
rnacentral:rRNA from 1 species